ACCCCCUAUGCGACGCAUUUACUCGAGUCCCCCUCGCGGGGAGAUGGGCCCAAUUUUUCCCCCAAACCCUGCCACGAACUAAAAAAGGGCCCAUCUCCCCGCGAGGGGGACUCGAGUAAAUGCGUCGCAUAGGGGGU
rnacentral:pre_miRNA from 1 species